GUGCCAGCCGCCGCGGUAAUACGUAGGGGGCAAGCGUUGUUCGGAAUUACUGGGCGUAAAGGGCGCGUAGGCGGCAUGGCAAGUCAGGAGUGAAAGGCCUGGGCUCAACCGAGGAACUGCUUUUGAGACUGCCAAGCUAGAGUGCGGAAGGGGCAACUGGAAUUCCCAGUGUAGCGGUGAAAUGCGUAGAUAUUGGGAAGAACACCGGAGGCGAAGGCGGGUUGCUGGGCCGACACUGACGCUGAGGCGCGAAAGCCAGGGGAGCAAACGGGAUUAGAAACCCCCGUAGUCC
rnacentral:rRNA from 1 species